CUUGCUGUUGAUCAGAGGUGGCACCUUGUGGGUCCAGUUCCUGAGUGGAUAAAGAAAGAGUUCAGUGCAGGCGAAUAUCCUGAGUGGUUCUUUGGGGAGGAGAAGGGUUUGGCAUUGCCUCAGUCCCAGCCUGGGGGUGAGACACUCCACGGGGACUGGGGCAGGCAGGAGCCACUCAACCAGACUCCCAAGACACCCCAUCCUCUCCAUCCACGGCUCGGCCCAGGGCCAAGCUUUGAGAGAUCAGGGGACAGGACUGUUGUCAGUGGUGGGGCUGGGGGUUAGGCGAGGAUGUUGGAACAGGGCCUCUGGCUGAGAGGGGCAAGCGGCCUCUCCUCUGUGGGCCCCUGAGCAACUCACUGCCCCUAUUUGGCCUCUGUCUCCCCAUCAAGGAAAUGGAGGUAUGGUGAUUGUGUGGUGCAGGCCUCACAGGGGGGUGAAGAGGUAAGAGGGAGGAAAGGAAUGUGGGAGCUUUCUGCCUGCUCCACCUGGAGGGGCGAGGGCGAGAACAAUGAUGACAGUCAUGCGACAGUGAGUCCUCAGGAGAACCUGUGAGGUAGCUGGAGUUCUCACACUUUCCAGAUGAGGAAACAGGCUCGGGGAGGCCAGGCCACAAGUCCAAGCUCAUACCCAGAGUUAGAGUUGGAGCUGGGCUUGUUCUGGAAUCACAAGACCUUGCAGGGUGGAGUAGCAUUGGUACCAGUUUACUCGAGUCAGAUGUCCAGGGUCGGAGGCCAGUGGUGCUGGAGAGAAAUGGGGUGAGGGGACUAUGGCCUCACUGGCACUGUCCUCGACCCUGGCAGGAGGGGCCUUCCACGUUUGCCCCCUGGAGAGCAACCCUCAGAGAGUGCAGGAGAAGCAGCAGCAGCAGCAGCAGCAGGGGAAUGAGAUCAACCUUGAGAAGAGGACUGAGGAAUAAUACCGAGUCAUGAGGGAGAUCCUGCUGCUCCAGGUCACCGCAAAGAAUUAUACCAAGACCCCGAGGAGUGAUUUGGGGCCUGGUUCCAGGACAUGGAGUUGCUCAACGAGAAUGAUAGGUGAGGCCGUACAGGAGUUGGGUGAGGGCAGGGGUGGAUUCUCCCUGUUGGCCAGUGCAGAGAGCCUGUCUCCGUGGCCCCCUGGUCAGCCCCAGAACUUAUUGCAUGACCACCCCAGGGCACCCAGACUCCAGCUGCUGAGGUUUCUUUUGACCAAAUUUUAGGAACUUUUAGUUUUCUAGUUCAAUCUCUGGAAUUGCAUCAGCUCUAAGUGGGGAAACCAAUGUAAAAAGAUCAAAACGUGCAGGUGGAGAGGACAAGGCCCGAGGAAGAUCAUUUGAAAAUGGACUAAAGGCAGGCAGGACUUUCCCUCCUGAGACCCUUCUAGGGGCUCCGUGUUCACCCCUGACCUAGAUUUGAAUCCUGCUGGGAUCCUUGUACAGGACUCUGAAUUCCUUUUCCUGCUUGAUUUGUAUCCAGGAGGAACGAUUUCUGAUGCAGCUUUUAAGGCUACUGCUGGGCCUCGUUACAUAAAC